rnacentral:rRNA from 1 species
AUUGAACGCUGGCGGCAGGCCUAACACAUGCAAGUCGAGUGAGCGGGGGACGGGGGAGUAAUAUCUGGGAAACUGUCCGAUGAAGGGGGGUAAAUACUGGAAAAGGUGUCUAAUACCGCAUACAAUACGAUAUCCUCAGAUGUGAUUAUCUAGUAGGUGGGGUAAUGGCUCACCUAGGCGACGAUCCCUAGCUGGUAUAAGAGGAUCACCAGCCACACUGGAAAUGAGACACGGUCCAGUCUCCUACUGGAGGCAGCAGUGGGGAAUCUUGCACAAUGGGCGAAAGCCUGAUGCAGCCAUGCCGCGUGUAUGAUGAAGGCCUUCGGGUUGUAAAGAACUUUCAGCAGGGAGGCGUUACACGCAGAAGAAGCACCGGCUAACUCCGUGCCAGCCGCCGCGGUAAUUC